GGGUCGUUUGGGUGAGCUUAAAAUAAGUACUUUUUGCUUAAAAUAAAAAAGUGAAUUAGAAGUCAGAAGCAAGUUAAGACUUAUAAGUGAUUAAACUGUUUGGGAAAUAAGUAGAAGUCCUGAAACAAAAGCUAGCAUUCUUAACUUCUUUUAAGUGCUUCUCGACUUUUUACACAAACGGUACAAAUAAGUGUUUCUAACUUAUAAGCCCAGAAGCUGGGCUUAUAAACGUUUCCCAAACACCACC
rnacentral:lncRNA from 1 species